rnacentral:rRNA from 1 species
UACGUAGGGUGCGAGCGUUGUCCGGAAUUAUUGGGCGUAAAGAGCUCGUAGGCGGUUUGUUGCGUCGGCUGUGAAAUCCCGAGGCUCAACCUCGGGUCUGCAGUCGAUACGAGCAAACUAGAGUGUUGCAGGGGAGACUGGAAUUCCUGGUGUAGCGGUGAAAUGCGCAGAUAUCAGGAGGAACACCGGUGGCGAAGGCGGGUCUCUGGGCAACAACUGACGCUGAGGCGCGAAAGCGUGGGGAGCAAACAGG